rnacentral:rRNA from 1 species
GGAUGACACUUUUCGGAGCGUAAACUCGUUUUAUCAGGAAAGAAUAAUGACGGUACCUGAUGAAUAAGCACCGGCUAACUCCGUGCCAGCAGCCGCGGUAAUACGGGGGGUGCAAGCGUUACUCGGAAUCACUGGGCGUAAAGGGUGCGUAGGUGGAUUAUCAAGUCUCUUGUGAAAUCUAAUAGCUUAACUAUUAAAUUGCUUGGGAAACUGAUAGUCUAGAGUAGGGGAGAGGCAGAUGGAACUCUUGGUGUAGGAGUAAAAUCCGUAGAUAUCAAGAAGAAUACCUAUUGCGAAAGCGAUCUGCUAGAACCUAACUGACACUGAUGCACGAAAGCGUGGGGAGCAAACAGGAUUAGAUACCCUGGUAGUCCACGCCCUAAACGAUGUAUACCGGUUGUUGCUUUGCUAGUCAAGGCAGUAAUCCAGCUAACGCAUUAAGUAUACCGCCUGGGGAGUACGGUCGCAAGAUUAAAACUCAAAGGAAUAGACGGGGACCCGCACAAGCGGUGGAGCAUGUGGUUUAAUUCGAAGAUACGCGAAGAACCUUACCCGGACUUGAUAUCUAACAAAUCAUCCAGAGAUGGAAGAGUGUCUGCUUGCAGAAAUGUUAAGACAGGUGCUGCACGGCUGUCGUCAGCUCGUGUCGUGAGAUGUUGGGUUAAGUCCCGCAACGAGCGCAACCCACGUAUUUAGUUGCUAACAGUUAGGCUGAGUUCUCUAAAUAGACUGCCUUCGUAAGGAGGAGGAAGGUGUGGACGACGUCAAGUCAUCAUGGCCCUUAUGUCCGGGGCGACACACGUGCUACAAUG